GGGUUGUGAGGUUAAGCGACUAAGCGUACACGGUGGAUGCCCUGGCAGUCAGAGGCGAUGAAGGGCGUGCUAAUCUGCGAUAAGCGCCGGUAAGGUGAUAUGAACCGUUAUAACCGGCGAUACCCGAAUGGGGAAACCCAGUGUGAUUCGUCACACUAUCAUUAACUGAAUCCAUAGGUUAAUGAGGCGAACCGGGGGAACUGAAACAUCUAAGUACCCCGAGGAAAAGAAAUCAACCGAGAUUCCCCCAGUAGCGGCGAGCGAACGGGGAGGAGCCCAGAGCCUGAAUCAGCAUGUGUGUUAGUGGAAGCGUCUGGAAAGGCGCGCGAUACAGGGUGACAGCCCCGUACACAAAAGCGCAUGUGCUGUGAGCUCGAUGAGUAGGGCGGGACACGUGGUAUCCUGUCUGAAUAUGGGGGGACCAUCCUCCAAGGCUAAAUACUCCUGACUGACCGAUAGUGAACCAGUACCGUGAGGGAAAGGCGAAAAGAACCCCGGCGAGGGGAGUGAAAAAGAACCUGAAACCGUGUACGUACAAGCAGUGGGAGCACCCUUUGGGUGUGACUGCGUACCUUUUGUAUAAUGGGUCAGCGACUUAUAUUCUGUAGCAAGGUUAACCGAAUAGGGGAGCCGGAGGGAAACCGAGUCUUAACCGGGCGUUAAGUUGCAGGGUAUAGACCCGAAACCCGGUGAUCUAGCCAUGGGCAGGUUGAAGGUUGGGUAACACUAACUGGAGGACCGAACCGACUAAUGUUGAAAAAUUAGCGGAUGACCUGUGGCUGGGGGUGAAAGGCCAAUCAAACCGGGAGAUAGCUGGUUCUCCCCGAAAGCUAUUUAGGUAGCGCCUCGUGAAUUCAUCUCCGGGGGUAGAGCACUGUUUCGGCUAGGGGGCCAUCCCGGCUUACCAACCCGAUGCAAACUGCGAAUACCGGAGAAUGUUAUCACGGGAGACACACGGCGGGUGCUAACGUCCGUCGUGAAGAGGGAAACAACCCAGACCGCCAGCUAAGGUCCCAAAGUCAUGGUUAAGUGGGAAACGAUGUGGGAAGGCCCAGACAGCCAGGAUGUUGGCUUAGAAGCAGCCAUCAUUUAAAGAAAGCGUAAUAGCUCACUGGUCGAGUCGGCCUGCGCGGAAGAUGUAACGGGGCUAAACCAUGCACCGAAGCUGCGGCAGCGACACUGUGUGUUGUUGGGUAGGGGAGCGUUCUGUAAGCCUGUGAAGGUGUGUCGUGAGGCAUGCUGGAGGUAUCAGAAGUGCGAAUGCUGACAUAAGUAACGAUAAAGCGGGUGAAAAGCCCGCUCGCCGGAAGACCAAGGGUUCCUGUCCAACGUUAAUCGGGGCAGGGUGAGUCGACCCCUAAGGCGAGGCCGAAAGGCGUAGUCGAUGGGAAACGGGUUAAUAUUCCCGUACUUGGUGUUACUGCGAAGGGGGGACGGAGAAGGCUAUGUUGGCCGGGCGACGGUUGUCCCGGUUUAAGUGUGUAGGUGUGUGUUCCAGGUAAAUCCGGUUCACUUUAACACUGAGGCGUGACGACGAGGCACUACGGUGCUGAAGCAACAAAUGCCCUGCUUCCAGGAAAAGCCUCUAAGCAUCAGGUAACAUCAAAUCGUACCCCAAACCGACACAGGUGGUCAGGUAGAGAAUACCAAGGCGCUUGAGAGAACUCGGGUGAAGGAACUAGGCAAAAUGGUGCCGUAACUUCGGGAGAAGGCACGCUGACACGUAGGUGAAGUGAUUUACUCAUGGAGCUGAAGUCAGUCGAAGAUACCAGCUGGCUGCAACUGUUUAUUAAAAACACAGCACUGUGCAAACACGAAAGUGGACGUAUACGGUGUGACGCCUGCCCGGUGCCGGAAGGUUAAUUGAUGGGGUCAGCGCAAGCGAAGCUCCUGAUCGAAGCCCCGGUAAACGGCGGCCGUAACUAUAACGGUCCUAAGGUAGCGAAAUUCCUUGUCGGGUAAGUUCCGACCUGCACGAAUGGCGUAAUGAUGGCCAGGCUGUCUCCACCCGAGACUCAGUGAAAUUGAACUCGCUGUGAAGAUGCAGUGUACCCGCGGCAAGACGGAAAGACCCCGUGAACCUUUACUAUAGCUUGACACUGAACAUUGAGCCUUGAUGUGUAGGAUAGGUGGGAGGCUUUGAAGUGUGGACGCCAGUCUGCAUGGAGCCGACCUUGAAAUACCACCCUUUAAUGUUUGAUGUUCUAACGUGGACCCGUUACCCGGGUUGCGGACAGUGUCUGGUGGGUAGUUUGACUGGGGCGGUCUCCUCCUAAAGAGUAACGGAGGAGCACGAAGGUUGGCUAAUCCUGGUCGGACAUCAGGAGGUUAGUGCAAUGGCAUAAGCCAGCUUGACUGCGAGCGUGACGGCGCGAGCAGGUGCGAAAGCAGGUCAUAGUGAUCCGGUGGUUCUGAAUGGAAGGGCCAUCGCUCAACGGAUAAAAGGUACUCCGGGGAUAACAGGCUGAUACCGCCCAAGAGUUCAUAUCGACGGCGGUGUUUGGCACCUCGAUGUCGGCUCAUCACAUCCUGGGGCUGAAGUAGGUCCCAAGGGUAUGGCUGUUCGCCAUUUAAAGUGGUACGCGAGCUGGGUUUAGAACGUCGUGAGACAGUUCGGUCCCUAUCUGCCGUGGGCGCUGGAGAACUGAGGGGGGCUGCUCCUAGUACGAGAGGACCGGAGUGGACGCAUCACUGGUGUUCGGGUUGUCAUGCCAAUGGCACUGCCCGGUAGCUAAAUGCGGAAGAGAUAAGUGCUGAAAGCAUCUAAGCACGAAACUUGCCCCGAGAUGAGUUCUCCCUGAGACUUAGAGUCUCCUGAAGGAACGUUGAAGACGACGACGUUGAUAGGCCGGGUGUGUAAGCGCAGCGAUGCGUUGAGCUAACCGGUACUAAUGAACCGUGAGGCUUAACCUUACAACGCCGAAG
rnacentral:rRNA from 1 species